UACAGAGGUCCCAAGCGUUGUUCGGAUUCAUUGGGCGUAAAGGGUGCGUAGGCGGCGCGGUAAGUCGGGUGUGAAAUCUCGGAGCUUAACUCCGAAACUGCAUUCGAUACUGCCGUGCUUUGAGGACUGGAGAGGAGACUGGAAUUUACGGUGUAGCGGUGAAAUGCGUAGAUAUCGUAAGGAAGACCAGUGGCGAAGGCGGGUCUCUGGACAGUUCCUGACGCUGAGGCACGAAGGCCAGGGGAGCAAAACGGGG
rnacentral:rRNA from 1 species